rnacentral:lncRNA from 1 species
CCAUAAACCAUGCAUUAAUUAUAAGGAAAAAAAAACUUCAAAUACCACCCAUGUGAUUUCGUACUUUCUCACUUUCGUAUCAUGUAAUUUAAAGUAUAUCAAUUUAGUACCAUGUGAUUUUAUUUUCUCUUUUUAUUAUCCAUUCCACUAAUUUUUUUCGUUAAAUCAGUGACAAAGUUGAACAUAAAGGAUAAUAAAGUGAAUAUUCGAUAAAUUUAGGUGCAAUAUCUGAAGUUUUUUGUAUAUAAUUUAGCGAAAUAUUAACGGAGUAACUGACGAAAAGAGAAAAACUUAAUACACUGUAAACUAUGUGGUACUAAAGUGACAAAAUGCGAAAUCAGAGAGGUGGUAUUUGAAGUUCACCCUUAAUUGAAGUAUCUUGUUAUCUACACUAUAAUUUAAUAAAAAUAAAAGAAAAAAUGAGACACCAAUAGUAUAGGGGGCUCUCAUCAAGUAAUUUAUGAUGCAUAUGCACAAAAUACAUAAAUAAAAAAUAAAAAAUUGCGCAAUUUAAAAAUUUGUUCAGUUUACAAAUUUAAAUGAAUCAAGGAUCAUAAACAUUAACAAUAUAUAUAUAUAUUUUUUUGGUGGUCCUGAUUUAUUUAUUCUUCUUAAAUCAUAAUUAGUAUAUUUAUUUAUAUAUUAAUUAAUCAUUAAGUACGGUUCACAAUAAUUAAGCUAACAUUUGUAUCAUUAGGCCUAUCUCUCGAUAGAAGGGGAGCAUGCUCUCGGUGGUACCCGGACGGUGAAGAUUCAAAUAGGGGGGGUGAUGAACGGUUAAGAUGGGUGGUUUUCCGAAUGACGUGGUGCACGAGGUUCGUAGUAUAUUUGUACCUUUCUCUCUCUCGUAUUUAUGAUUUUGAAUUCGUAUCUGUCUCCGUGGACCACGCUCUCGGCUUUUUGUCGAUUCGCGAGGAGAGAUUCCCUCACUCUGUGCACCAAAACCCUAACCCUAGAUUCCCUUUCGUCGUCCUCCUCCUCCUCCUCGUUGCUCCAAAACCCUAACGCUAACCCAAGCCCUAGCCCUAGCCCUAGAUCCUUGAUGAGCCCUAUCUGGAGCCAUGCACAAGCUCUGGCGCGGAAGCUCGAGCCUCGGCAACCCCGCCGCCGCGUGGAUUGACGCGAAGGUCUCGCUCCUCCUCNCAUGUACAUUUUGCAUAUAUAUCAAUUUUCAAAGAUAAAUACAUAUUUAUUAUUUGAUGUGCUAAAUUAUUAAUUGUAGAUUUUUUUUUUUUUUUGUAGCUUGAGCUCAUCAAAAUUUAACUUAAUUAUCAAAUUCUAAGUAAAGCAUUCAAAAUUUAGCUUGAUUCGCCGCGAUCAACAUAUUGCAAAUGAAUACAAAUAGUAAUUAAAGAAAAUAAAAUUUGAGCUUGAUUGUGCUCAAAAUUACAAGAUAUUAAUUAUUUUCUCUUUGUUUUAAUGUAACAUAAAUUCUCCAUUUUGGAAAUUAAAAAAAAAAUUGCAAAGCAUAAAUAGUGCUUGGCCCAUGGGUCCUCAUUUUAAACUAAAAAUUUUAUGGUGGGCUUGUUAGGAAAUUGCCUAAAAUAUAUGCAUAAAAUGUACUAUUUCCAUAUGAAUAUUCUUAUACAUGGAAAUAUAAAAAUAUUUAAAAAUAAGAAUCCAACUAAUUUUUAAUUUAAUAUGCCGUUAAUCGAGUAAACUCCUCGUAUUUAUAAAACCCGAAAAUCCGAACUCGAAACAAUUAUUUUUCUUUACAAUAUUUCAAAACAUAUUAUAUUAAGUCUAAAUUUCAAAAUACAAAUUCAAAUAUAACAUCAAACAUUUCUAUAUAUAUUAUAUAUAAUGUAAAAUAAUUUUAGGUUCAGAUCGUGUUCGGGUUCGGGUUGGUGUACAUUCAAAAUCUAUACCGGAAUUCAAAUCCGUCGGGUUUUCGUUUUUGAUAUCCACAUCCGAAGCUAUAUCUGUUUAGUAUCAAGUAAAUCCACUCUGUUUGGAUUCGGAUUAGGAUAAAAUUUUGGGUAUCUGUAUCGAUUGACAUCCCUACUCAUGGGCUGAACGUUCAGGGACUAGCAGUGCAAUUAACCCCCGAAAAAUUUAUAUUUGUAUUAAUAGGAGGCCCAUGUACGAAUAUCGCAUUUCGGCCCAUGGGCCGUGUCCGUAAUGUCUUUAUUAAGACCCAAAGAAAAAGAAAUUCUACACCAUAAACUAUGCAUUAAUUCAAAUACCACCCCUAUGGUUUCGCACUUUCUCACUUCAGUAUCAUGUAAUUUAAAGUAUAUCAAUUUAGUACCAUGUGAUUUUAUUUUUCUCUUUUUAUUAUCCAUUCUACUAAUUUUUUUGGUUACAUCAGUGACAAACUUGAAAUUAAAGGAUACUAAAGUGAUAUUCGAUAAAUUUAGGUGCAAUAUCUGAAGUUUUUUGUAUAUAAUUUAGCAAAAUAUUAACGGAGUAACUGACGAAAAGAGAAAAACUUAAUACACUGUAAAUUAUGUGGUACUAAAGUGACAAAAUGCGAAAUCAGAGAGGUGGUAUUUGAAGUUCACCCUUAAUUGAAGUAUCUU